GCCCGGAGAGCUCAGUUGGUAGAGCAUCAGACUUUUAAUCUGAGGGUCCAGGGUUCAAGUCCUUGUUCGGAUG
rnacentral:tRNA from 2 species